UACAGAGGUCCCGAGCGUUGUUCGGAUUCACUGGGCGUAAAGGGUGCGUAGGUGGUGAGGUAAGUCGGAUGUGAAAUCUCCGGGCUCAACCCGGAAAUGGCAUUGGAAACUACCUUGCUGGAGGAUUUGAGGGGGGAUUGGAAUACUUGGUGUAGCAGUGAAAUGCGUAGAUAUCAAGUGGAACACCAGUGGCGAAGGCGGUUACCUGGGGCUUUGCUGACGCUGAUGCGCGAAAGCGUGGGGAGCGAUCCGG
rnacentral:rRNA from 1 species